rnacentral:rRNA from 1 species
UACGUAGGGUGCAAGCGUUGUCCGGAAUUAUUGGGCGUAAAGAGCUUGUAGGCGGUUUGUCGCGUCUGCUGUGAAAUUUCGGGGCUCAACCCCGAACUUGCAGUGGGUACGGGCAGACUGGAGUGCGGUAGGGGAGAAUGGAAUUCCUGGUGUAGCGGUGGAAUGCGCAGAUAUCAGGAGGAACCCCGGUGGCGAGGGCGGUUCUCUGGGCAUUACCUGACGCUGAGGAGCGAAAGCAUGGGGAGCGAACGGG